UGUUGACAAUGGAAGACCCUUGGAUGACCCAAAUUUUGGAGGCCAAAUUUAUAUUUAUUUUCAAUAAUUUAUAUUUAUUGCCAAAAAAUUUAUGUUUAUCAUAUGAAAUUUUUAUUUACUAUAUAAAAUUUAUAUUUUUUUGAUAUAGUUUGUAUUUAUCCUGGUAUAAUCUCAUACAAGACAGAGAGCAACUUCCUAGAUUUAUGUUUAUCCUUGCAUUGUUUAUGUUUACUCUAGGGAGUUUAUGUUUAUUUUUACAUUACUUUAUUUUUAUUCCAUCAGAAUUUGGUAUUUAUCCUACUCUAUUGUUGUUUAUCAUGGAGGGAUCUUGGAGAGUUUUUAUUUAUUCCAAAAAAUAGAGUUUAAUAUGGAUCAGUUUGUGUUAAACUAUUUUGCAUCAUCUAUUAUAGAGAGUAAAUAUCUAAAAUUCACAAUCAUCAAUAUAAUAUUAAAUGUACAAACCAAACAAUAAACCAUAUUAUGUAGGAAUAAUAUAUUCAUUUACAACUAUGUAUGAGCACAUCAUAUACAGCACUUACAAACAACACCUAAGUCAAAAUAAUACCUAUCAUAACAGAAUUAUAAGCAUAUGAUGUAAAACACCAGUGACCCUACACGACCAUCGAAUUGCUCUUCCUCAAAUGAAUUAUUAUUGAUGUAGAUUUCAAAAUUAUCUCUCUGCAUAAAGUACAACCACUCAGUAAGUCACAAAAAAAAAAAGACUAUCAAAACAUAAUAUGAACUAAUUAAUUAGAAAGAUGUCAUCGGAUUUCGACAACCAAACUCAGGUUGACUAGAUUUAAACCCAAAUCCGAUUAGCUCCCCAAUCCUUGGAUUGGUGCGAAACUCUAUGCACUCAAAUUUAGCUAACGGAGGGGCUCUCACGGCCAUUUAACAAAUAUGGUUUUAUUUUUUUUUAAAAAAAAAAGC
rnacentral:lncRNA from 1 species